rnacentral:lncRNA from 1 species
UAUAAUCAAGGUUAGCACGUUAGAAACAACCUUGUUGAUUGAUUGAGUUUAAAUUGAUACAUAAUGGGACUCUAAAGGAUAAUGUUAGUUUAAAUGAAAGAAUGAUAAGAAUAAGUAGUGAUGGCUAAAGUUAUACAAGAACCUAAGUUUGGGGGAAUAUUUGGGGUAUAUAAGCUAUAUUGUAAAAAAAGUAUGAAUAAACACCGUGGCGUGUUUGUCUAGUUUUGUGGCCUUUGUUACUUGAGUAAGUAAGCCCAAGGGGAUUGUCUUUACACCUAGCGCCCUAAGGUCUUAAUGGUCUGGGAGUCGUUGGUCGAAAGCUCGUUAAGGUAUCAUUGAAAAGCCUAAGGUAAUAAGACAUUGCAUAGCAUUGUAUAU